GUUCUUACUGGAUAGAUCUGGCAGUAUGGGUGGGCCCGUAUAAAGAGUGCCAGGGUACUCUGCUGCUCCUGUUGAAGAUCUUACAACAGGCUGCUAUUUUACACAUCUACAUUUUGGGUCCACUCAUGAACACAUCUUCCCUCAGAGUGUGGAAACUGCCAGAAGACCAUGGAAGGAGCGCUCGAAACAAGUUGAGGAGAUGGACGCCAACUAGAGGAACAGAGAUCCUUGAACCCCUCAAACAAUUUACAGCCAGCCUAUGUCCCAG